AAAAUGUAGAGAGAAGUGAUAUGCUAAAGAUAAAGCUUCACCAUGUUUAUUCAUCUCUUAAUCUUUGGUAGAACCACCUAUUUAUAGGCUUACAAGAUAGAAGAUUGAAUACCAUCAUUUACAAUAUACCUAUAGGUUACAAGUACUAAUUACAAAUACUUAGUGCAUAGGUUACAUAAAAUCCAACGGUGGAAUAUUAAGAGGUAUGGUGGUCAUUCACCAACUCAUGCAUUUACAACACUUUUUUAUUUUUUAUAGUCUAAACAAUCGCCUAACCCUUCUUUUAAAGAAAAUAUUAGGCUUAUUGC
rnacentral:lncRNA from 1 species